AUGUCGACCAGCCUUCUUGCAUCGUUCAAGAGGGAGCGGUUUUGGUAGAAGCAAGUAUUCUGGAAAACGAAACAAAUGAUGAAACAUCCUUUUUAAAUUCUAAAGAAGCAAGUAACAUACCCCUUCUUCACGUUUAUUCCUGAGCUCGCGAAUUUUGUCAUAGACCUUAUCCCUUUUCUCAAUCACUACACGCAAUUCCUCCUCUAAAGAAGCAAUCACACCGUUUAUGGCCUCUUUUUCAGUCUCCAGUGUCUUAAGUUUGGCCUUGAUAGCUUGUUGAUCCUUGCGGACCCCGUCAAGAUCAACGCCAAUAGACUACAAACAACAUGGAAUCAAGAUAAGCAUUAAUAAAUAAACUUUUACAAUGGUAUAUAGAAGAAGAGGCGUUCUUACUUUGACCUGGUCUUGGAUGGCAUCUUUUUCACCAACAGAUUUUUGAACUUCAGCCCUCAUAGCAGCGUUUGCAAUAACCUUAUCCCUCGUCCCUUCAAGUUGUUUUAUUUCUCUGAUUAUUUGUUUCUCCUCGUUUAGAGUAAUACUUUCAUGUUGAAUACGGUAUUGCAUGCUCUUAAUCUGCAUCAACAUUCAAGAGUAAAAAUUAAUUAAUUAUCAAAAAUAAACAAAAAGAUAAGGCACUGAGCGUUGUGUUUCUACAUAAAUGAUUUGUUCUUACAACAUCGUUGAGCUCUUCCUCAGAUGAGCAUAUGUAACCUGCUCGGUUGUCUCUAUUCGCAUUGUUUGGGCCCCGCAACUUGCCUAAAGCCUGCUGCAGUGGCUCGAUUUCUUUUCUCUUGCCAUCCAUGAUCGUCCUGAAAUGGUUUUUUUCUUCAACGAGCGCCUUAAGUUGACCAAUUACUUGUGCUCGUUCAUUCUAGAAAAAAAAAAAAACAAAAUUUCAAUCAAAAUUAGUAUUAACAAGUCGAGACAAGAGUGUAUGUAAGCUCAAGAGUAUUGAUAUAACAAAUUACCCUUUUUGCCCUCAGCUUUUCAGUUAUGGGGUCACGGGCCAAAUUAAGCUUUUUAAGAUCCUUAUCAGCCUGAUCAAGUUUAGCUUUCAGGGCCUGGUCUUCAACUGUUCGGUAUUUAACAAAAUAAAGUGAGUGGAACUUUUUUUCUUCGGGCCACUCGUCAACUGCAUCCUUUGGAAAGCUGGGUUCGGGUGCUUUCUCUACACGAACGGAUUCACUCACGUGAGGACCGGAUUCAUUUUCACCAACAUGCCCGUUUUCAACAGACACAACACCAUCAAUAGCCAUGUUGUUUUCAAGAUAAAAAGAACUUCACUACUCUUCAAAUAUUGAAAACCCUGAAGCGGAAAACACACUAAUUAGCCAACAAAAUUUAACCUUUCACCUAUUUUAUCGGAUUGCAAGAAUCAAGCUUUACAGGCUCCAUAAACACCAAUUUGCAAAUACUAACGAAAAUAAUACAAACAAAAACUUCUAGAAAUAAUUUAUCUCGAAUCAAGUAAGGAAUCGGGUCACUUUCACGCAGCCUUCAGCAUAACUUGAUUUCAAUAAAGUGACAUUAUUCAAAUAUGAGUGAUUAAAACCCUAAUUUUUAAUUAAUUAGGGUCAAAAAAAUUAAAAUCACAUAUUUAUACACCUCUUUAAAAUAUUACACACAUCUAGUUCCUCUUUAAGUUCAAUCAGAAAACACUAAUCACCAUAACUUUUCAUAAUCUUCAUCAUACAAAUAACAAAUAAUAAAAAAAAAUAAACACCAAUUUACAAAUAAUAAAAAAUAAAUAAAUACAAACACCUCUUUUAGUUCAAUUAAAGAAUAAUCUUCAUCACACAAAUAAACAGAUAGUAAUCAAAUU
rnacentral:lncRNA from 1 species